rnacentral:rRNA from 1 species
GACGGAGGGUGCUAGCGUUGUUCGGAAUCACUGGGCGUAAAGGGCGCGUAGGCGGCCUCAGGUGUCGGAUGUGAAAGCCCGGGGCUCAACCCCGGAGGUGCAUCCGAAACUCUGGGGCUGGAGGUCGGAAGAGGAGGGUGGAAUACCCAGUGUAGAGGUGAAAUUCGUAGAUAUUGGGUGGAACACCGGUGGCGAAAGCGGCUCUCUGGGACGGUACUGACGCUGAGACGCGAAAGCGUGGGGAGCGAACAGG